CAGAGCCGGAAUCCCCAUCUCUCUCGUUCCUCUGCACGCCUCUCAAACCCUAUACGCCGCCUGCCUCAUCCCCUGUCCGACGCCGCAUCACCACCUGGCCGCCGCCGCAGGCCCCUUCCUUCCCUCGUACGCGACGCCGCCGCCGUACCUUCGGCGGUGCGUUUGACGCGCUCGGGCGAGCUUCUGGUGCUCGGGGCAAGUUUUCCCGGUUUCUGCGCAUCCUGUGAAUGGAGGAGUUGGAGGCGCGGAGGCCCGGUCAUCCUUCCGAAUUUCCCGAUGCAGAGACGGUGCGAUGGUAGCUGACUUCCAUGGCCGGCCUCUGUCGAGGUCUGAUGACGAACUGGUGAGUUGAUCUGACUGAUGGGAGGGGCGGUCCGUCGCCGCCCUGCGCCGGUGACUGUUCUCUAUAGACUCCAGGACGGCAAUAUAAUUGUCGCAGAUCUACCGGAGGCGCAUCCCUCUAUGGCGUUGACCGCGACGGAUCUGAAGGUACCGGUGGGUGACUCAGAUCUGCAGGGAGAGACGUGCCGGUCUCCACUGCUAGAGCCUUGGCUAGUGGCUGAUACAUGCUACCGGCGAUGUGAUUAACCAGAGGAUGAUGACAUCCGCAUGCGAGGUAGUGGUUUGGAGCAGGCCAGUGAGGUGCAAUGGUUGCCUGAGGAGAUUGAUAUUUUGCUUGGAGGCUAGCCAUGAUGAUCGAUAAAAUACUACAAGGAACAGACUUACUGGUUUUUGUAUAGUUUGAUAAAAUUAUAUGGCUUAAAUGUUUUUAGUGGUACCAAGGUAAUUAAGUGUGACCGUGUUAUUUUGUGGCUAUUUUUUAUAAUAAUAAUAAUAAUUAUUCACUUUUAUCGAUUA